ACUAUCGCGAGGUAGCGGGGAGAGGAAGGGAUAGCGAAAUCGUGGCUCUACGAACAGAAACGUGAUAUUAAGGCGUAUAUAGCGGAUGAGGGGGCUGAAAACUCUAAAGUCCAAAUAGGAGUAAACGAGGAAAGAUGUACGACUUAUCCC
rnacentral:ncRNA from 1 species